UUGAAGUCUUCAGCCCUAACCAUUUAUCAGACCUCACUCUGGAGCCACUAAAGGCUUCAUACAACUUUUUCACAUAUGGAGUGGUGCUUUCCAAGACCUCUAAACAGAGUUUGAUGUUUAAAAUUGGUGCAGAUCCCUUUUACGUGAUUUGAACGUGAAAGCAGAUCCAAGUCUUGUAUUUUGAAUUUUAGUGAUGGAGCUUUGUUUACAUUUUCAUCGCUCGCUGCAGAAGUACUUGUACAUCCAUGCAGGUUUCCUACCUGACCCGCUUCAGCUGUGAUCCUGGUCUACAGAAGGGGAAGGUCUAGGAAGUAUGGAGUCUCAGCAGCACCAUGAUCUGCUGCUGGUUCCAACAAUUCAAGCCCUCAGCUGAUACGGGUGUCAAGCCAGGUGUGCGUCAGGCAGCUGAUACAUCUCUGGUGUGAUGUCAUGGAGCGACAGUGGAUCUGAAUCUUUCCCAUGAAAUCUUUCCAGACGCUGCAGGAGAGCCACAAAGAUCAGGGUGGAAGACUGGAGCUGCAUUCCCUGAGACUCAUGUGACACCUUAACCUUAAUGACGGAAAUGCAGACAAGAAAACAAAAAACAAAUCAUGUUCACUUCAUUUGACAAAAAAGAAAAGUGGUUCUGCUAAGUUGUAACUAAUGGCUUUAUUAAAAGUUAAAGUCCACCUCCAGUUAAAAACGCUAUUGUUACUUUGCUUGGAAAUUUGAGUGUCACUGUGCAGAAUGAUGUCCUCUACUGUGUUUGACACUAGAAGGCUGUUUUUGCAUUCAUGUGAUAAAGGGGGGAAAUCUCUC